GUUGGAGAUUCCUUGCUGAUGGGGUCCUUUCUGCAAGUCUAGAUAUUUGGAGAUGGUCUUUCCAAUUGUAACAGGCAAGAAGCUGAAGAAUCUCCACAGAGAACUCCUUAGCCUCUCUUAGAGAGAUGCAGAAAAUGGUGAGAGAGAAUCAUGGAGCCAUCACCGUUUUUUUCUGUACAAACUAGCCAAUACUUCUCCAAGAAGAAAGGAAGCUUUGGUGAAUUUCUUGCUUCAGCUAUUGCAACAGUAUAAUAGAAUGUCUUGGGCAACCAGUCUGACAGAUGAUGCAAAGUCUUUCGUCCACUGCCAUAUGGCAAAACAUUUUAAAAGCACCAGAGCUAUUUCAUCAGGUGGAUGAGACUGAAAAGAUUUACCUACUGAAUAUGUUUCAAGUUGUUUGAAACUAGCGCCCUCCUGGGUAAAAUGUAAUUUGUUUCACAGUUUCACUUUAUUAAUUUGCUAUUGACAUUUCUCACAUGCUGAACAGGCUUUUUACUUGUGCAAAUAAUUAGUGAUAUCUUCACAAAAAUUCCAGUUUUGAGAGCAAAUGAAGUAGGCUUUAGUCCUGUAGUGUCAUAUGUAACUUCUAGUUCAAACAAGUCGGGAAAUUUGUUUUUUGAAAGCUGUAAAAUUGAGUGCAAUGGAACCAUCUGCUGAAAAAGAAACAGCAUUGUGUCAGUUAGAUAAUAAUGGACUUAUGAGAAAGAGACUUCAGAAUUAUUCUGAAUUAAGAUCUUUCCAGAGCUGCUAACAGUGAUACUGAGGAGUCAAUAUCUUUACAAGUCUUCAAAUUUGUUAUAAAUUUAUGUGAUUAAAAGUAUUGAUUUUAUA